rnacentral:rRNA from 1 species
AUACGUAGGGUCCAAGCGUUGUCCGGAAUUACUGGGUGUAAAGGGGGCGCAGGCGGGUUUGCGCGUCAGGGGUUAAAUCUAUCGGCUCAACCGAUAAACAGCCUCUGAAACGGCAAGCCUUGAGUACGAGAGAGGGUGGUAGAAUUCCUGGUGUAGCGGUGAAAUGCGUAGAUAUCAGGAGGAAUACCGGUGGCGAAGGCGGCCACCUGGCUCGUUACUGACGCUCAGGCACGAAAGCGUGGGGAGCAAACAGGAUUAGAUACCCCAGUAGUCC